AUGCCAUCAUCAAGGCACUACCAUUCUGGUAGAAUUUACUCACCAACUGGUUCAUCUGAUCAGUGGACUGGCACAUCAGGGCAAUGGUUUUCAAGAGAUGUGAACGUCCAGAUAUACGCUCUGAGUAGUGGGCCGGAAGAUGCCACAUCAUUCCCAAUACUAUGCUGUCUCUAACACAACUGAAAUGGGGUGCACCACAGAGCAGAUCACUCAUAAUGGGCCACUUACUGAACACUUGUCACCUGGACACAAAUGAGGCAGGAAAAUCACUGCUCAGGCAUGGACGCCAAUGUCUACUCCUGGAAAUCCGCUUCUGCUCACUCCAGAAAGCACCGGAGGUGUGACGAGAGCAACCCUCAUUGCUGUGCAUCCCCUGGCAGGAAACACACGCUCAGGUGCAUUUGUUCGUCCGUUUUCUUUGAAAUGCUGUGGAAAGCAGUGUACAGCAGUCCUAGCAAAAGGAGAAUUCAGGUAAGAGAGGGAAGGAAACUAAUCAUUACUAGGCAGAUACUGUGUCCUAUAUCCUUUUACAUAUCCACUUGUACAUAAUGUUGGAUACAAUGAGGUAACCCAGGUAAGGUUCAAAGUUCUGCUUUGGCAAGAAAAGUCCAGAUGGCCAUGCUAAAGUUGAAAAAGAGCUUAUAACCGUGCAAGCUUCACAUUCACAAAAGGUACAAUAACUCUUUGAUUCAUUUCAAAGGAAAGAAAGAACUCAACUUUCUAAAGGGUAAAAUGUUCACCUAAAAUUGUAAGCUAUAAAAUCCAAAGAGUUUGAAGCCAAAUGAGGUGGACUGGAGUUGAAUCCAAUGACUUUGGGACAAUGGCUUGAGUCUUGGGCCAUGGCUUCCUCAAAUAGAAGUGGAAAUAAGAAUUCUUGCUUCUCAGGGUUAUUGUGAGCGUGGAAAGCAUUGAACAUUUGAAAGUGUUUUGUAAAUGUAAAACGUCAAACAAAUGUCAGCUAUCUUAGCUUCCACUUCCUGGGGAAGGAGUCAGCAGUCUGCGGGUAGCCGCCUGCCUCUUAGCACUCUGAAGGCUGCCUGUGAUCUUCUCACUGGACCUUGAAGGCAGCUGAGGUGAAGCCGAAAGAGUAGGCCCAGAGAGUCAGAAAAACCUUAGUCUUCUUAGUAAUGGAGUCUUGGCUCCACUACUCAUCAGCUGGAUAACCCUGUAAAGUUACUUAUGGGGAGGCUGGGAGACAGCAUGCGUAGUGGUUAAGUGACUUGGUUCUGCAUUUUGAAUCUCAUCUCUAACACUUUGAGGUCUUGUAAUUUUGUGGAAGUUGGCCAACCUCAAUUGAUACUUCUGUGAAACAGGGAUAAUGGAGUAUAUUUCUCAUAGUAUUGAGAGGAAUGAUAAUAAUGGCUAAUAUUUAUUAGUUUGUGUUUGGGACUAUGAAAUAGAAUACAGACCAGUAGACCCUUGCAUUAUGCUGAAAUGGCCUGAAAACACUAUGUGUCCACGUAAGCCAGCAUUCAGAGAAGGAACUUGGAUCACCUGUUCAAGUAGAUGCUGCUUUCCUUUCUUUUUCUUGGCCAUGAAUUAGAUAUUAAAGGAUACUCCCAAAAGGGAGCUCAUUUAUGUUUUUGAAGAGAAUAAAUAAGUUUGAUCCUUAAAACUCA
rnacentral:lncRNA from 1 species